rnacentral:rRNA from 1 species
GAGACAGUUUGGUCCCUAUCUGUUGUGGGCGUAGGAAAUUUGAAGAGAUCUGUCCCUAGUACGAGAGGGCCGGGAUGGACACACCUCUGGUGCUCCAGUUGUCACGCCAGUGGCACAGCUGGGUAGCUAUGUGUGGAAAUGAUAAUCGCUGAAGGCAUCUAAGCGAGAAGCAUACUUUAAGAUGAGAUUUCCCAUCCUUUAUGGAGUAAGACCCCUUGAAGACGACAAGGUUGAUAGGUUGGGUGUGUAAGCACGGCGACGUGUUCAGCUAACCAAUACUAAUAGGUCGAGGACUUCA